CCUACGGGUGGCAGCAGUGAGGAAUAUUGGUCAAUGGACGGAAGUCUGAACCAGCCAUGCCACGUGCAGGAAGACGGCUCUAUGAGUUGUCAACUGCUUUUGUACAAGGGUAAACCUGAAUACGUGUAUUCAGCUGAAAGUACUGUACGAAUAAGGAUCGGCUAACUCCGUGCCAGCAGCCGCGGUAAUACGGAGGAUCCAAGCGUUAUCCGGAUUUAUUGGGUUUAAAGGGUGCGUAGGCGGAUUGAUAAGUUAGAGGUGAAAUGUCCGAGCUUAACUCGGGAACUGCCUCUAAUACUGUUGAUCUAGAGAGUAGGUGCGGUAGGCGGAAUGUAUGGUGUAGCUGUGAAAUGCUUAGAGAUCAUACAGAACACCGAUUGCGAAGGCAGCUUACCAAUCUAUAUCUGACGUUGAGGCACGAAAGCGUGGGGAGCAAACAGGAUUAGAUACCCGUGUAGUC
rnacentral:rRNA from 1 species